rnacentral:rRNA from 1 species
AUACGUAGGGGGCGAGCGUUGUCCGGAAUGAUUGGGCGUAAAGGGCGCGUAGGCGGCCCGGUAAGUCUGGAGUGAAAGUCCUGUUUUUAAGAUGGGAAUUGCUUUGGAUACUGUCGGGCUUGAGUGCAGGAGAGGUAAGUGGAAUUCCCAGUGUAGCGGUGAAAUGCGUAGAGAUUGGGAGGAACACCAGUGGCGAAGGCGACUUACUGGACUGUAACUGACGCUGAGGCGCGAAAGUGUGGGGAGCAAACAGGAUUAGAUACCCUGGUAGUCCACACUGUAAACGAUGAAUGCUAGGUGUAGGGGGUAUCGACCCCUUCUGUGCCGCAGUCAACACAAUAAGCAUUCCGCCUGGGGAGUACGGCCGCAAGGUUGAAACUCAAGGGAAUUGACGGGG